GAUCAAUGUUUUGCUGUCGCAUUCGCAGUCGCAGUCGUAGUCGCUGAAGAGCUUCCGACCGAUUCGUUGUCGCUAGGAGCAUUUGGGCAACCCAAACCCUAAGCCUUCAUCUCUCUCGCUCGAAUCUGGUAAUCCUUUCGGUUCUCAUGGCGCUGCCCGGCCCAUACUCAGGCGUCAGCACGCUUGCCUUCGUGGCUCGCGCGUCGGCUGUCACCUUCGGCCUCGUCUACGGCAGCGUCAAGCUCUCCUACCUCCAGGCAAAAGCAAAGCGGCACAAGAAAGCAGAGGCAAAAGGUCACCACUAAUAAGAAGGAUGUGACCUGCUAUGCUCCCAUUCAUAUUCUGAAUCUCAAUUGUUGCAAACUUUUUGUUAGUAUAUUUCUCCCCUACAUGUUGGUUCAUGGUUUUCUUGUGCAUGAGAUCACAGUGUGCCCAAAAAAGGUGGUUUCUUUAGCAUAUUUUUUUUACUUCAAUAAUUGAUUUUUAAUUGUGACA